rnacentral:lncRNA from 1 species
GAACAUCAUAUAGUGAUGCUCUGUCUUCCUCUGCUGUAGCUCCACUCUGCCCUUCCCCCCCCUCUGUGCAUUCAGCCACACUGUGCCCUGACCCAUUGACUGCUCUGACCCACUCCACAAACCCAUCAGAAGGACCUCAGCACCAGGUGUGUCCAUGAAGAGGCUGAGAUCCAUCCCAUGGUUCUUCCAUGCUGAUGUGAUGGAUGUAACCAACAGGAGUAACAGCGGACAUAGUGUCCUUAACAGCACAGCUCUUAAUUCUGUGUUCCUGACUCUGCUGUGAGAUCUGAAGAAAUAAGCUUUCCUCUGGGAGGGGCUUUGGAGCUCCCACUGCUAUCUCGAGCACCUGGGAUCCCUGGAGCUACUGGUAUUAUCUCAGCAUUGCACCAUCUUCGUCAGUCAAUAUCCCAAAUCAUCUCGUCAUAUAGAAGGUGCUUUGCUAAUUCUCAUGGAUCCCAGGUGCUUCAUGCCCUUGGUGUCCUGUCAUGCACUGAUAGUUUUAGUCCACAAGCUACAGUGCAAUAUGCUUAUGAGUAAUAGCAUCUUAUUGGAGUGUAAAGAUCUUCCUAUUUCACUGAUUUAUCCUGCAUUUAAACUAAUACAAAAUUCACUUACUUCAAAAAGUACAGGAAGCAAAAUGCUCUCUGUAAAUAGCCUGGCUUUUCUAAACUGAUAGCGCUGGAAGGGGAGAUGGAAUAACUUGCACUAUCUAUUUUCUCUUGGAGGUAGCAUCGCUGUGUUAUUUUGACUGUUUUCCAUAACGAGGGCCAUAGUUAAUUCUUUUCUGUGUGAGAGGCUUAUGGGCUGGCAAGGACUGUCUGACCUUUAUGCCUGAGUCUUUAGAAACCCAGCACAGAUUAAUGUGAAGUUGGUUUAAGUGGGCAGUGAGGCAGUCCCUUUGCUUUCAGUUCACUGCCUGGUGGAUUUCUGGCUCGUGAAAUGCCAAACACUGAACCCUAUCCCCUCUUAUUCAUUUUGUGGGGUCUUUUUUGCUCUCCUUUUCCCAAUACAUUUCAGAUACUUUCUCAAGUUUAUGAGCUGUCACUGCUCACAUCACAGAAGAAAAACGGAACGCAGCCAGGACCGCCCGCAUUGCUCAGCUGUGGCAGAAAGCUGCAAAGCCAGAAGUGUGGGAACGGAGCAGGAAACAGUCAUGGGAAGAUGAGCACCAGAGUGUUCCUCCCCAGGUGCUGAGCCCACGUUGGCAGUAAGUUGGUGGCCCGAUAAUGAUGGAGCAACAGACAGGUUUGUGAAACACCAUAUCACAAUGAUAUUUCUAACCAGAGAGAACAAGCUUUCUGAGAGAGAAGAAGUGACUUCAGACUUUGGUAAAUGCCAUCCCAGCAAUUUUAGCUGCUGCCUCACUCAGAGACUGCUGUCUGGUUGGUCAGAUCAGGCUUGGAGGAUAGCUCAGGUCCCCACUUGCAAUUAGGCAUUAUUUGUCACACUGGGUUGGGGAUACCUCAGCACAAGUUUCUUCUUCUAGACUAUGAAACAUACCUGACCCAAGGAAGGCAAAUAUGGUAGCAAAACCCAAUAAAUGAAGAGUCCUAAUCA